AACGAACGCUGGCGGCAGGCUUAACACAUGCAAGUCGAACGGGAUGCUUCGGCAUCCAGUGGCGGACGGGUGAGUAACGCGUGGGAACCUACCCCGAGGUGGGGAAUAACCGCUGGAAACGGCGGCUAAUACCGCAUGCUCCCUGCGGGGGAAAGGCUUCGGCCGCCCCGGGAGGGGCCCGCGUCCGAUUAGCUUGUUGGUGGGGUAAUGGCCUACCAAGGCUCCGAUCGGUAGCUGGUCUGAGAGGAUGAUCAGCCACACUGGGACUGAGAUACGGCCCAGACUCCUACGGGAGGCAGCAGUGGGGAAUAUUGGACAAUGGGGGAAACCCUGAUCCAGCCAUGCCGCGUGAGUGAAGAAGGCCUUAGGGUUGUAAAGCUCUUUCGCCUGUGACGAUGAUGACGGUAGCAGGAGAAGAAGCCCCGGCUAAUUCCGUGCCAGCAGCCGCGGUAAU
rnacentral:rRNA from 1 species